rnacentral:rRNA from 1 species
UAGUCAUAUGCUUGUCCUAAAGAUUAAGCCAUGCAUGUCCAAGUAUAAACCUUUAUACGGUGAAACUGCGAAUGGCUCAUUAUAUCAGUUAUAAUUUACAUGAUGAUGACUUGCUACAUGGAUAACCGUGGUAAUUCUAGAGCUAAUACAUGCAAAGGGCCCGCAAGGGUGGCAUUUAUUAGAUGGAACCAGCGAAAGAUGGUGAAUCAUGAUAACUGAGCGGAUCGCAUGGCCUCGAGCUGGCGACGCUUCAUUCAAAUUUCUGCCCUAUCAACUUUGGAUGGUAGGAUAGAGGCCUACCAUGGUGGUGACGGGUGACGGGGAAUUGGGGUUCGAUUCCGGAGAGGGAGCCUGAGAGAUGGCUACCACUUCCAAGGAAGGCAGCAGGCGCGCAAAUUACCCAAUCCCGACACGGGGAGGUAGUGACAGUAAAUAACGAUGCGGGGCCGUAUGGUCUUGCAAUUGGAAUGAGAGGAAUGUAAAUGCGUUAGCGAGUAACGAUU